rnacentral:rRNA from 1 species
UACGGAGGGUGCGAGCGUUGUCCGGAAUCAUUGGGCGUAAAGGGCGCGUAGGUGGCCCGGUCAGUUCGUGGUGAAAGCCCGGAGCUCAACUCCGGAGGGUCGGUGGAUACUGCCAGUCUUGAAGGUGCUAGGGGGAGAUGGAAUUACCGGUGUAGCGGUGAAAUGCGUAGAUAUCGGUAGGAACACCAAUUGCGAAGGCAGCAGACUAGGGUGCAACUGACGCUGGAGGCACGAAAGUGCGGGGAUCAAACAGG